rnacentral:rRNA from 1 species
UAAACAAUAAGGGCGUACGGAGGAUGCCUUGACACUAAAAGGCGAUGAAGGUCGUGGCGUGACUGCGAUAAGCCUCGGGGAGCCGUCUAGCGGGCUUUGAUCCGGGGAUGACCGAAUGGGGAAACCCCACGCGGUAAACCCGCGUGAGCGUGCUUCGCACGCAGUUCAUAAAGUUGAAAGUUCAUAAUGUUCAUAAAGUAAACUGAAUAAGAUUUUUAUUCCAGAAACUUUAUAACUUUAUAACUUUAAAAACUUUUGACUUGCGCGCGGAGCGCGUAGCGUACCUGGGGAAGUGAAACAUCUCAGUACCCAGAGGAAAAUAAAUCAACGAGAUUCCGUCAGUAGCGGCGAGCGAAAGCGGAAUAGCCUAAAUCUGUACACCAAUCAAACGGUAGCAACUGUCAUUUUCGCGUUAAACAUAUUUGAUAUUGCUUAGCGUCCGAUAGUCGGCAAUUGUGGCAAUUCACGAACCGACUGUCGCAGUGAAAGUGCCGCUUGAUUGGUGUGCAGAGGUUAUAGGGAUAAUACACUUGAGAAUUUGAGCUUUCGAAUUCGAAGCUCAAAUUUUCUUAGAAAGUUAAAAAUCCGAGCGUUAGCAGAACGGCCCUGGAACGGCCGGCCAAAGAAGGUGACAGCCCUGUAAGCAAAAACAAUCGGACUUUCGUAUUGUUACCUGAGUAACCCGGGAUAAGAAUGUCCUGGGAGAAAUUGCCCAUACUACUGGGUAAGGCUAAAUACUUUUAGUGAUCGAUAGUGAACAAGUACCGUGAGGGAAAGGUGAAAAGAACCCCGGUGAGGGGAGUGAAAUAGUAACUGAAACCAUAUGCCUACAAAGAGCCGGAGCUGUGGCUCACCCUUGUGAGCCACCGCGGACUUUGCGGACUGAACGCGGAACUACGAGGACAAAUUAAAAAUGUCUGUGUCUGUCUGCGUAAAGUCAGCGUUAGUCAGCGGUGACGAACAGAGGCGAGUCACAGUGACGGUGUGCCUAUUGAAGAAUGACCCAACGAGUUUAUUUAUACUGCGAACUUUAAGCUCUUAUGGAGCGUAAGGGCAGGGAAACCGAGUGUUAAUAGCGCGACUCCCGCCUAAGUUUUUGGAUUUGCUUUUGCAAUGUGCGUCUAGGACGCAUAUCCAAAAAUUUAGGCGGGUAAGCAGUAUGGAUAAGACCCGAAACCAGACGAGCUAACCAUGGCCAGGGUGAAAGCCGCCGAAAGGCGGCUGGAGGCCCGAACCGGUUUGUAGCGCAAUACGAUCGGAUGAGCUGUGGUUAGGAGUGAAAAGCUAAUCGAGUUUGGUAAUAGCUGGUUCUCCCCGAAAUGUCUUUAGGGACAGCCGCAUAUAGUAACAAAGGGGGUAGAGCACUGAUUGGUUCGCCGUGCCUUUUUAGGUAGGUUUACCAAAUAAACUCCGAAUACCUUUGUGUAAUGUAUGCGAGUGAGACUACGAGGGCAAAGCUUCGUGGUCGCGAGGGAAAGAGCCCAGAUCACCGCUUAAGGCCCCUAAAUGUAAACUAAGUGAGAAGGAAGUGUUUUGCCUUAGACAGGUAGGAGGUUGGCUUAGAAGCAGCCAUCCUUUAAAGAGUGCGUAAUAGCUCACUACUCGAACCAUGCACUUUCUAGAAUUUGAAGUUAAGUUUGAUAUUCAAGAAUUAAUUUUUUGGAAAUCUUGCGAGAUUAUCGAGUUUUAGAAAGUGCAUGGAAGGCAAAGUGCGCCAAAAAUGUAGCGGGACUAAGUUUACUGCCGAAAGCGUGGAUUCGUCACGAUUUAUCGUGAUGAGUGGUAGGGGAGCAUUCCCAACGCGGGUAGUGAAGGCCGCAAGGCUUGAACUACUCCAAACUGUGAAGGUGUGCCGUGAGGCAUGCUGGAGUGUUGGGAAGGGAGAAUGUUGGGAUGAGUAACCGCAAGACCAGUGAAAGUCUGGUCCGCCGAAAGCUCAAGGUUUCCUCCGCGAUGGCAAUCAUCGGAGGGUUAGGCGUCCCUAAGGAUAACCAUGCCUAUGGGCAUGGGAAUCUGAUGGUGAGCCGGUUAAUAUUCCGGCCCCGCGUGCAUAUUCGACAGGGAUGACGGGGAAUAAAAGAUUUCGCGUAUUAUUGGAUUUACGCAUCCCAUUUUAGAACGAGAACCAGGCAAAUCCGGUUCUGGCCGCAAGGCGCUUUCGUAAAUGGGUUAGGACUGCCGCAAGGCAGGAUGAAAUUGAAGAGUCCUCCAAGAAAAGUCUCUAAGAUUAGUAUGUACGCGCACGUACCGCAAAACCGACACAGGUGAGCAGGUGUAAGUGCACCAAGGCGAACGGGUGAUUAUUGGCUAAGGAACUCGGCAAAAAAGCGGCCGUAAGUUCGCGAUAAGGCCUGCCAUCUUCGGAUGGCCGCAGCUAAAGAACCUCUGGCGACUGUUUAUCAAAAACACAACUCCGUGCUAAGCCGAAAGGCGCUGUAUACGGGGUGACGCUUGUCCGGUGCCGGAACGUUAACGGUUGAACUUGUGGCUCACCCUUGUGAGCCACCGCGGACAGUCACAGACUGGACGCAGACAAACGCAGAAAUUUUUCCGCGUAAGUCCGCGUUAAGUCAGUGUAAGUCAGCGGUGACGAACAGAGGCGAGUCACAGGGGAAGCCCGAAGCGCCGGUGAACGACGGCAGUAACUAUAACUGUCUAAAAGUUCUGCUCAUCUGAAAGCAGGUGCGUAGAAGAGCUUAGACAGUUAUGUAACUAAGCUAGAGACACAAGGAAAAUGUUGCUUAAUUAUGCGGAAUGCAUAAUUGCUCUUAAAAUAUAUUCGGCUAUAUGCUGGGAAAUCUGGUGUAUCGAAUGCUACUUUGAUAUAAUUGAAACAAGGCCGAUAUAACCCUUGUUUCUAUGAAGCAAAGUAAAAAUGCAAUUCGUGCAGAAAACCAGCAGGAAAGACUAAUUAAAAUUGGUUGGAUUGUGGGUUUUGUUGAUGGCGAAGGAUGUUUUACUGUCGGUUUUAUCAAACAACCUGACAGACCCGAUAGAAAAGGAUAUAAACUCGGUAUUCAACCAUAUUAUGAGUUUGCAGUUACCCAAGGAAUUAGUAGUAAGAAGUCCCUUCUUACCCUGAAAAAAUUCUUUGGUGUUGGCGAAUUGUAUAUCAACAAGAGAUAUGAUAAUCACAAGGAACAUCUUUAUAGAUAUACCGUUAGAAGAAGAGAACAUAUUUCAAAUAUAAUUAUUCCCUUCUUUGAAAAGUAUCAACUUCAAACUCAAAAAAGAAAAAACUUCGAGAUCUUUGCGCAAUGCAUGAAAAUGAUAGAACAGAAGAUGCAUUUACAAAGAGAAGGGCUGAUCAAAAUUAUACAGCUCACAGAAAACAUGAACCAUAAACGAAGAAAAGAUAAUUUAAUUAGAAUCCUCAGAAACCAAACGCCGAAGCUUGCGAUUUCUAAAAUGAAACCGUGGGUAAGAUAGAGUUCGGACCGCAUGGCGACAUGUGGAAAUUCCUAGCGAAAUACCUUGUGGGGUAAGUUCCCACGCGCAUGAAUAGCGCAACGACUGGAGGACUGUCUCAGCCAAUAGCCCGGUGAAAAUGCAAUGUCAGUAAAGAUGCUGACUACCCGCACCAAGACGGAAAGACCCCGGAAGCUUUACUGUAGCUUGGUAUUGGUCUAUGAGUUUUACUGCGUAGCGUAGUGGGUAGGAUUUGAAGUCCCGAUUUCGGUUGGGAUAGAUCCGCCGAUGAAACACCCAUCUUUAAGACUUAUAGCUCUAACUGGUAAAGCCCUAGAAGGAGAAAAUAUGCAAAAAUUUUUUGAAAAAGGAUCUCAAGAAAACUAUAUGAUUAUGAGACAAAUGCUCAAACGAGAAGAUUGGAAACAAAGUUGGAAAGAAAAUGGCAUUGAUUUAAGUGAAGAAAGUGUUGAAAGAGAUUUUCAGAUUGCAAAGCAAUGGUUCUUAAAACAUCCAACUUUUAUUGAUCCUGGCAUUCAACAUCUCAUUAGGUGAGCUUAACUCACCUCUUUCUAGGGCUUUAUCAAGACAGUGCCUGGCGGGCAGUUUUGGUGGGGCACUAGCCUCCUAAAGAGUAAUGGAGGCGUUCAUUAAGGUUGGCUAGCUGCGGAUGGAAAUCGCAGCGAUAGUGUAAAGGCAUAAGCCAGCUUAACUGCAAGGCGGACGUGCCGCGCAGAUGCGAAAGCAGGACCUAGUGAACCGACGCUGGCUCGUAGGAGCGGCGAAGAUCAACGAAUAAAAGCUACUCCGGGGAUAACAGGCUGGUACCAUCCGAGCGUUCACAGCGACGAUGGUGUUCGGCACCUCGAUGUCGGCUCGCCCUAUCCUGGCGGUGAAGAAGCUGCCAAGGGUUAGGCUGUUCGCCUAUUAAAAGGGUACGCGAGCUGGGUUCAAACCGUUAAGGAGCAAAAUCAAAAAUAAAAAAUCAAAAAUCAAAAUUUAGGUUUCGCCAAGGGCGAUUCAAUAAUUUUUAGAUUUGAGAUUUGUAUUUUGAAUUUGGCUUUUUGACUGUUUGAAUCCGAGGUUUUGACAUCACAUACGGCGCUAUAUUGUAGUAAUGCAUUAUAGAUUCGUCAACUUAUAUCGGUGGAAUCCUAAUUCCGAUGAUUCGGAGUUCGCUCAAGAGAGCGGAUAAAUUCAUACCUGGAUUAUUGGGACAAUACCGAGGGAAAAACGUUUUUGGUUAUAUCUUAGAAAGAUGAGGAGAAAUCAAUGCAAAAAGCCCGUUUCAAACUGGCCCAUUGACCGGAGAAAAAACAGAGGAAUUACUGGGGAAAAUACAUGAUAUCUACUCUGUAAUGGAUAAUUAUUCUCGUUUGAUUGCCAGAGGCAAGCCUGAUUAUAUCGACACGGUUUCAUGGCAAAUGACACUCUGUCGUUAUCAGCGGCUUAAAACUCUGGUCAAAGAUUUGCAGAAUAGUUGUCUUUCUUAGGCGAGUUAUCUCGCCUCUUUCUAAGAUAUAAUCAAAUAAUAACGUUACCCGUAGAGACUGAAUGUUGACCAUCCAUUUUGGUGGAUGAAGUUACGGUCCAAUGCACGAAGCAAUUCGUGGAAACCCUCCUGCGCUCUGAUGAGCUAAGGACGGGCUAGCAUGCGUGAGACAGGUUGGUCCAUAUCUGGUGUGGGCGUUCAUACUUGAGGGGGGUUGUCCUUAGUAAAGUAAUUGCUACUUUACGGAGCAAUCCGUAAUGACAAUUCGGCUAAUAACGGUGGAUGCUCUUGUUUGCUAUGCUAUUCGGUCCGAAAUGCAUAGAUUAAAACGGGCAAGAGUUAAUACCGUGGGAAGUCUUCGCCACAGGCGAAUGACCCCGUAACGACUUAUCGAGCUGUACUCGAUGGAUAGCUAGUGAGGAGAUAAUGUCAAAGAUUGGCUAUAAUACGCCGACUUCCACUAAAAAAUGGAAGAAGAUAUAGUCUGCACCCUUAGUGAUAAGGGAUGAUUGUUUCUAGAUUCUAAAUUCUAGUUUCUAGAUUCUAAUUUGUGACGAGAGGACCGGGAUGAACGAACCUCUGGUCUGCCAGCUGUCCUGCCAAGGGCAUCGCUGGGUAGCUAUGUUCGGUUCUGAUAAGCGCUGAAAGCAUAUAAGCACGAAGCAGGCCCCAAGAUAAGGUAUGUGGACCGCAAGGUCCGGUGAUUCGUGGCAGACUACCACGUUGAUAGGGCUCAGGUGUAAGCACAGUAAUGUGUUCAGCCGAGAGCUACUAAUAAAUCAUA